CUCAUCUUCAUGAUUCACCCCUGCAAUACUUAAACCUGGGCUGAUCACCUUGUUGGCGCCAGUUUCUUAUCUACAACCCAUGUGCUGCCUCCUCUGCUUUGCCUGCCUGCUUCAAGCCCCACCAUCCAGCCUCUGUCUCCAACUUGGGAAACCCUCCGUGUUCUCGUCUCUGCCUGUUCCCCUCGUGUCCCAUAAAGACCUGGAUUCUUCCCUGUUGGCUCGCCACAAGCCUCAGACCAGCCAGGAGUUUCACCACCCUGACACUACCUACAGUGAUUCUCUGAGUACACUCUGCUACAUUAAACCUUUUUAAACUGC